rnacentral:rRNA from 1 species
GAUGAACGCUAGCGACAGGCUUAACACAUGCAAGUCAAGGGGCAGCACGGGAGUAGCAAUACAACUGGUGGCGACCGGCGCACGGGUGAGUAACGCGUAUGCAACCUACCUAUCAGAGAGGAAUAACCCGGCGAAAGUCGGACUAAUACCGCAUAAAACAGGGGUACCGCAUGGUGAUAUUUGUUAAAGAAAUUCGCUGAUAGAUGGGCAUGCGUUCCAUUAGGUAGUUGGUGAGGUAACGGCUCACCAAGCCGACGAUGGAUAGGGGAACUGAGAGGUUGGUCCCUCACACUGGUACUGAGACACGGACCAGACUGCUACGGGAGGCAGCAGUGAGGAAUAUUGGUCAAUGGGCGAGAGCCUGAACCAGCCAAGUCGCGUGAAGGAAGAAGGAUCUAUGGUUCGUAAACUUCUUUUGCAGGGGAAUAAAGUGCAGGACGUGUCCUGUUUUGUAUGUACCCUGAGAAUAAGGAUCGGCUAACUCCGUGCCAGCAGCCGCCGUAA